rnacentral:rRNA from 1 species
AGACACGGCCCAGACUCCUACGGGAGGCAGCAGUGGGGAAUAUUGCACAAUGGGCGAAAGCCUGAUGCAGCGACGCCGCGUGAGGGAUGACGGCCUUCGGGUUGUAAACCUCUUUCAGCAGGGAAGAAGCGAAAGUGACGGUACCUGCAGAAGAAGCACCGGCUAACUACGUGCCAGCAGCCGCGGUAAUACGUAGGGUGCGAGCGUUGUCCGGAAUUAUUGGGCGUAAAGAGCUUGUAGGCGGUUUGUCGCGUCUGCUGUGAAAAUCCGGGGCUCAACCCCGGACUUGCAGUGGGUACGGGCAGACUAGAGUGUGGUAGGGGAGACUGGAAUUCCUGGUGUAGCGGUGAAAUGCGCAGAUAUCAGGAGGAACACCGAUGGCGAAGGCAGGUCUCUGGGCCACUACUGACGCUGAGAAGCGAAAGCAUGGGGAGCGAACAGGAUUAGAUACCCUGGUAGUCCAUGCCGUAAACGUUGGGCGCUAGGUGUGGGACUCAUUCCACGAGUUCCGUGCCGCAGCUAACGCAUUAAGCGCCCCGCCUGGGGAGUACGGCCGCAAGGCUAAAACUCAAAGGAAUUGACGGGGGCCCGCACAAGCGGCGGAGCAUGCGGAUUAAUUCGAUGCAACGCGAAGAACCUUACCAAGGCUUGACAUAUACCGGAAACUUCCAGAGAUGGUUGCCCCCUUUGGGUCGGUAUACAGGUGGUGCAUGGUUGUCGUCAGCUCGUGUCGUGAGAUGUUGGGUUAAGUCCCGCAACGAGCGCAACCCUCGUUCUAUGUUGCCAGCACGUUAUGGUGGGGACUCAUGGAAGACUGCCGGGGUCAACUCGGAGGAAGGUGGGGAUGACGUCAAAUCAUCAUGCCCCUUAUGUCUUGGGCUUCACGCAUGCUACAAUGGCCGGUACAAAGGGCUGCGAUGCCGUAAGGUGGAGCGAAUCCCAUAAAACCGGUCUCAGUUCGGAUUGGGGUCUGCAACUCGACCCCAUGAAGUCGGAGUCGCUAGUAAUCGCAGAUCAGCAACGCUGCGGUGAAUACGUUCCCGGGCCUUGUACACACCGCCCGUCAAGUCACGAAAGUCGGUAACACCCGAAGCCGGUGGCCCAACCCUUGUGGGGGGAGCCGUCGAAGGUGGGACUGGCGAUUGGGACUAAGUCGUA